rnacentral:rRNA from 1 species
UACGUAGGGUGCAAGCGUUAAUCGGAAUUACUGGGCGUAAAGCGUGCGCAGGCGGUUUUGUAAGUUUGUCGUGAAAGCCCCGGGCUCAACCUGGGAAUUGCGAUGAAGACUGCAAGGCUUGAAUCUGGCAGAGGGGGGGUAGAAUUCCACGUGUAGCAGUGAAAUGCGUAGAGAUGUGGAGGAAUACCGAUGGCGAAGGCAGCCCCCUGGGAUAACACUGACGCUCAUGCACGAAAGCGUGGGGAGCAAACAGG